AAAUUGAAGAGUUUGAUCAUGGCUCAGAUUGAACGCUGGCGGCAGGCCUAACACAUGCAAGUCGAACGGUAACAGGAAGCAGCUUGCUGCUUUGCUGACGAGUGGCGGACGGGUGAGUAAUGUCUGGGAAACUGCCCGAUGGAGGGGGAUAACUACUGGAAACGGUAGCUAAUACCGCAUAACGUCGCAAGACCAAAGUGGGGGACCUUCGGGCCUCACACCAUCGGAUGUGCCCAGAUGGGAUUAGCUAGUAGGUGGGGUAAUGGCUCACC
rnacentral:rRNA from 1 species